CCUACGGGAGGCAGCAGUAGGGAAUCUUCCGCAAUGGGCGAAAGCCUGACGGAGCAACGCCGCGUGAGUGAUGAAGGUCUUCGGAUCGUAAAACUCUGUUAUUAGGGAAGAACAUAUGUGUAAGUAACUGUGCACAUCUUGACGGUACCUAAUCAGAAAGCCACGGCUAACUACGUGCCAGCAGCCGCGGUAAUACGUAGGUGGCAAGCGUUAUCCGGAAUUAUUGGGCGUAAAGCGCGCGUAGGCGGUUUUUUAAGUCUGAUGUGAAAGCCCACGGCUCAACCGUGGAGGGUCAUUGGAAACUGGAAAACUUGAGUGCAGAAGAGGAAAGUGGAAUUCCAUGUGUAGCGGUGAAAUGCGCAGAGAUAUGGAGGAACACCAGUGGCGAAGGCGACUUUCUGGUCUGUAACUGACGCUGAUGUGCGAAAGUGUGGGGAUCAAACAGGAUUAGAUACCCUUGUAGUC
rnacentral:rRNA from 1 species